AUUGAACGCUGGCGGCAUGCUUUACACAUGCAAGUCGAACGGCAGCGCGGGCUUCGGCCUGGCGGCGAGUGGCGAACGGGUGAGUAAUGCAUCGGAACGUGCCCAGUAGUGGGGGAUAGCCCGGCGAAAGCCGGAUUAAUACCGCAUACGACCUGAGGGUGAAAGCGGGGGACCGAAAGGCCUCGCGCUAUUGGAGCGGCCGAUGUCGGAUUAGCGAGUUGGUGGGGUAAAGGCUUACCAAGGCGACGAUCCGUAGCUGGUCUGAGAGGACGACCAGCCACACUGGGACUGAGAAACGGCCCAGACUCCUACGGGAGGCAGCAGUGGGGAAUUUUGGACAAUGGGGGCAACCCUGAUCCAGCCAUGCCGCGUGCGGGAAGAAGGCCUUCGGGUUGUAAACCGCUUUUGUUCGGGAAGAAAUCCUCUGGGCUAAUACCCCGGGGGGAUGACGGUACCGGAAGAAUAAGCACCGGCUAACUACGU
rnacentral:rRNA from 1 species